GAUGAAGAACGCAGCGAAAUGCGAUAAGUAAUGUGAAUUGCAGAAUUCAGUGAAUCAUCGAAUCUUUGAACGCACAUUGCGCCCCUUGGUAUUCCGAGGGGCAUGCCUGUUCGAGCGUCAUUAUAACCCCUCAAGCUCAGCUUGGUGUUGGGGCCUGCUGCACUGGCAGCCCUUAAAAUCAGUGGCGGCGCCAUCUGGCUCUAAGCGUAGUAAUUCUUCUCGCUAUGGAGUCCUGGUGGAUGCUUGCCAUCAACCCCCAAUUUUUCUAUGGUUGACCUCGGAUCAGGUAGUGAUACCCGCUGAACUUAAGCAUAUCAAUAAGCGGAGGA
rnacentral:misc_RNA from 1 species